AGAGUUUGAUCAUGGCUCAGAAUGAACGCUAGCGGCGUGCUUAACACAUGCAAGUCGUACGAGAACUCUUUAGCUUGCUAAAGAUAGUAAAGUGGCGCACGGGUGAGUAACGCGUGGGUAAUUUACCUCUGAAUUUGGGAUAACUCCGCGAAAGCGGGGCUAAUACCGGAUAAAAUCUUUCGGAGGGAUCUGAAAGAUCAAAGGUGGCCUCUCCAUGGAUGCUACCGCCUGAGGAUGAGCCUGCGUCCCAUUAGCUUGUUGGUAGGGUAAUGGCCUACCAAGGCUACGAUGGGUAGCUGGUCUGAGAGGAUGAUCAGUCACACUGGAACUGGAACACGGUCCAGACUCCUACGGGAGGCAGC
rnacentral:rRNA from 1 species